UGGAAUCGGGUGGAGUCCUUGUAGUGA
rnacentral:sRNA from 1 species